rnacentral:lncRNA from 7 species
GGGGAUCUCAGAAUAGCACAACGUGUUCAAUAAGGCUUUGAAAGAAAACAAAGAGCUGAAGGCCAGAGCUGACUCCUUCAGACAAGAGUAUAAAAUGCAGGACUCAAAGUACUUAAAAUACUUCAGUGACAAGCAACAAAGAAAUGCCUGUUACUAUAAUUGCCUGCAUUAAGUAAAGAGCCAGAAAAUCUUGAGAACUUUUAAAAAAGUAGAUAUUUGAUGUGUAGGGAGUAUAAGAACAAAAUUCUCUCGGGCCAUGGCCGGAGCCCUGAAUCAGCAGAACUCUUUUCCUUGAAGAAAGUGAAAACCAGAGGAGGCCUGGCUGUUGGAGAAUCCUCCACUGUGGCACACUGUGUGCAGAUACACCCCAGUCCAAGAGGAACUAGACACAGACCACCAGCAAUACAGACUAACCACCAGCAAUACAGACCAUUCGUUAUAUCUUUUUUUCUUUUUUUUUUUUUUUUUCAGUAGCUAUUAAUUUGGGAUGCAUUUCAACUAGUGGCCUCGACUGGAAAAGUACCAGAUCCCAUGCUGUGUAUCUCGAGGGUACCCUGUCUCAUUAAUAAGCACCUUCAUUCCAGAGUAUUGUCUGUUUAUUUUGGAAGGUUUUCCUCCCCUCCCUGAAAAAACAGAGAUGAAUUGGGAUAAAUACAGUCAGGAAAUGGUCUCCCUAGCAACACUAAGAAUACAUAAGAACAACCUCAUCAUUCACUUUUCUUCCUUAGAUACACUUUUAAAAGAAGUUUGAGCUACCCUAAAAGACAUCUCCUGUUCGCAGUACAACACCCAAGUCAACAGAAUUAAUCAGCCCUGAUUUCACUUUCAGUGAGAAGGGAACUAAGUCCCUUUAAAAAAAACAGGGACAUAAGGUCUUAGAUUCCAGGGAAAGAAAGCUGAGUCAAAAGAGGAGUUCAUUCAGAUUCAACACUGCUCAAAAGAAAGCGGCUUUAUGUAACAUUCAGCUUUGCUGAAAUGUAACUUACAUUAACAAACUUCCAGCAUGCCCUGUUCAGAGAGCCUUAGGUUUUGAUAAAGUCUGGGUUCAGCUGUCUACGGGCAAAAUCUAAUCUAGUUGUGUAACAAUGCCAGAAAGGAAAUCAGAAAACUUGUUUCUGAGAGUUUAUUGGGGGAGACAUCAAAGCGUGGUGCUGCAUAAUUCCUACUCCCGUCACGUUGCGCUAACACAGCCCCCUCACUCCUGAUCCACUUGCUGUGCCUGCCAGCUUCUGAAUGCACUAUGAGGUGCAUGAGAGGCAUUUCAGCAGCUGAGAGGGCUGAGAGGGCUUUUCACCUGGAACAGUGUGUCCAGCCUAAGAGGUGAGGGGAAACUUCACUGGGCUCAUCCUCCUCAUCCAAUUUUCUCUACAGUCUGUGGGCAGGAGGGGUUGGCCCUCAGAGGAAGCCAGUAGGUGAACCCAAUUUCAGGCUAACCCUGCCAGAUUUCUACCUCCAGAGUAAGUAAUAUGUACUCUUUCUCAUCUUUUAAAAGGGAUCAGAUUGGUUAGCAGUGGUCACAGCCUCCCAAGGAACUGCUUCUUUGUCUCAUGUCCCUUCUAGUAUCACUGCUUCCAAGGUGCUAUCUUCCUUCCUGUAUGAAAGACCUACUUUCUUUGUUUCCUAAACAGCAAUAAAUUUGUCUCCAGUGACUGCU